rnacentral:lncRNA from 1 species
GUUCUGUCAAUUAGUUCUACCACAGUCUAGUCAAUUCUACCUAGCUCCAGCCCACUUUUGUGUUAGGCCUGUGGAUACCCAUAACAAGAAAAUCAGUGACUAUUUUCUCUGGAGACUAAAUGUCAAGCCAGGGAACCAAGAAUGAACUGGGAUCUGCUGACAGUAAUGUUGAGAUCCUGGCCAUCACGUCCUUUUGCUGUCCUUGUCUAUUUGCUAUCAAAAUGGAGUGGAGAAAAAUGAAGGGAUGCCCUGUGGAUCACCGAGGUACCAAAUAUCUUCUUCCCUGCUCUACCGUGGUGGAGCAGCCUACCUCCUCCUAACUUCCUACUAAGGUUGUGUUUCCUUGCCUUGCUUGCUGGUCUCUUGGAAAGGACCUUGAAGGGACUGGGUGACAGCCAUACCUUAAAGUUUAGUAAAACUCUGUCUGUGUCUGUCCCCUUAUAGAAGUAUUCCUCCUUUGGGAAACAAGACCUCCAGUUUUGAUCCAAUCACAAUAUGGGCCUUCUAUAUUUUUUCUUGAUCAAUUUCAGGCAGGUCCAAGAUUAUUUUAAAAUUGCAAGUCUAAUGAAAGCAAGAAAUGGAAAUUAAUUAAGGAAACUCUAGAAUCUAGUCGGUGGUGGUGUAGGUGAUUCAGCAAGAAGAAGCCGGAGAUCUGGCUCUGCCACCUACUGUCAGUGUGAGUAUGGACGAGUUACUAAACCUUGGUUUAGUCCAUUACUAAACAGAGUCCACACUAUUUACUUAACAGGAUUAUUGUAAGAAUGAAAUUAGGUAAUUGCAUAAAAGAGGCUACACGGUAGAGACAUUCAAUACAACAAUGCUGGGCCCUUCCAUUUUGCUUCCUAAAACGACCCAGGGAUUUCUCAGCUUGUUAUUCAGCUUCAUCUAUUCUCCCCUGUAGCUCUUCCUUUCUUAAUUAUGAUCCAGAGUGACCUCUGGAAAAGAUAACCUAGGAAACCACAAAACAAAUAUAGGAGUGUUUAAAUUUUCUUAGUAAUAAAAAUAGCCAGAGUGACUGGUCUUUCUCAAGAGUCCUUGAUGCAUGACUAAGAGAAUUUUGAAAUGCCUUUUAAGUUUUCCUACUAGGGAUACAGAUCAGAUAUUUUCCCAGCAUCCCACUAUUUUUUUUUUAUUUUUACAAGUUUUAUUGAAGUAUAGUUGAUUUACAGAUGGUGAUAUUUUCUGUUAUAUAGCAAAGUGAUUCAGUUACACACAUACACAUAUCCACUCUUUCUCCAAUUCUUUUCCCAUAUAGGUUAUCACAGAAUAUUGGGUAGAGUUCCCUGUGCUAUACAGUAAGUCCCCAUUGACCAUCCAUUCCAUAUACAAUAGUGUACACAAGUCAAUACCAAAUGCCCAGUCCCAUUCCUUCCCCCUCCCCCAGCGACCCACUUCUCUCUUCCAGAGAAGCAGGCCCUUUCUCAGGAUUUUCCAAGCCUUCUUUAUGCAACUAUCUUUGGAGAUGAACUAAUCUCCUUAUAGUGCUGAAACUUGAUUUGCAUACAUUUCCAUAAUGAGGGCCAUGAUGACAGUGAAGGCAUAGAUGUGUAGAUUCAUAUAUACAUAAUAAAGGGUUGCUUGUUGAAGAUAGAGCAAAAGUGAGAGUGAGAAAUCUAGAAAGCUACUGUAAGGGGUUGGCUGGGAGAGAAGGGGGAAAGAGGAAGCUCUAGGUGCUGAGGAGUUUUCUAUGUUGAUGGAAUAGGUAGUGUAAACUGGUGAUGCAACUGACACUACCUAGUGGUUAAGAACAUUGGCCUUGAGAUUAUAUCCCAGCUUUGCUCUACACCUAGGCACACCUCUGAAACUUUCUAUGCUUUGAUUUCCUCAUCUAUAAAAUGGACACAAUGUUAGUACUGGCUUUAUAGAGUUGCUAAGAUGAGUAAAUGAGAUGAUGAAUUGUUAAGUGCUUUGCAUGUUGCCAAGCACAAGGUGAGUAUUCAUUACAUGGAAGCUAUUGUUCUUUGUUAAUGGAACUUNUUUUGUUAAUGGAACUUUUUUUUGCCUUCCAAAAAAAAAAAAAAAAAAAAAAAAA